rnacentral:lncRNA from 1 species
UUCUCUUGAUUUUUUCAUUCGACCUUCAUCAAAUUCUCUAUGAUCAUGUUUUUUUUAACAGAACUUGACAAACAGGUGACUUUAAAAAGCAAAAUAAACUUCUUACUCUUCUAAAGAAUCUGAGUUUUAACUACUUUUUGAUGGGAUAUGGUUGAUGAUCAAUUUGAGUUUUGCAAUAUAGAGAUCACAGAUGGUUUUACACUCAGCAUGUAACCUGAUAGAAAUGCUUGGCAAGUCUAUUUCUAACUGCCUCUUUACAUCAUAUAAAUAAACUUUGUGUGAAACAUUUUCAUGUUAUUCUAUAUUAUAUCUUGUCUGUAUUAAUUCGUGUCUAUUGCAUAUAGGUCAACAUUUUUUGUUUAAUAAUAUAACAAUAAGAAGAUAAAUUAUGACUGCCAAUGAGACAAAUCAACAUCCAAGACCAAAUGUUGUUGAUGAAAACAAUUUAAUGUUACCUUAUGGUCUCCAACAUGGAACAUAAAUCUUUAGAUGUCUUUCUUUUCUCACAUAAAUAAUAUUAAUCAC